rnacentral:lncRNA from 1 species
GAGCCCCAGUGCACAGUGGCUAGGGUUCACCUUGGCCAGGUCAUCAGGUCCAUUGGAACCAAGGUGCAGAAUAAGGAACUUGUGAUUGAGGCUCUGAGCAGAGCCAAGUUCAAGUUCCCUGGCCGUCAGAAGAUCCACAUCUCAAAGAAGUGGGGCUUCACUAAGUUUAAUGCAGAUGAAUUUGAAGACAUGGUUUCUGGGAAGUGGCUCAUUCCUGAUGGCUAUGGCAUCAAAUAUAUCACCAAUUGUGUUCCUCUGGACAAGUGGAGAGCCCUGCAUUCCUGAA